UUGAAUGGCCUAAAUAUCCUAAAGGUACCAGAAUCCAUCUGAUCUUGGAAGCUGAGCAGAGCCAGUUGAGAUUAGUACAUAGAUGGGAGACCACCAGUGAAUCCCAAAUGCUAUAGGCU
rnacentral:rRNA from 1 species